rnacentral:lncRNA from 1 species
AAGGAAGAAUGCUAGUUUGGAGGACUCUACACGGGAAGAUGAGGAUAGUAUGACUUAUUAUUUCACAGAUUUGAACUGGGGGGUCGUCACACAUGUAAUCUCCUACAAGCCAGUCGCUUGUCCUUUAUGUUUAGGUUGACAAAUUUGAAUUUGUAGUUUUUAGUCUUUACAAUUUCCUUAUAAGUUAAACCCUUAAAUUUAGAAGAACAGAUGUUAAAAGCAUGUAUAAUGAAUUACAAGAUCAACAACUAGGCCAUAAAAGGUGGAGUUUAUGGACUAAUUUGGAUUUCAAAGGUUUCCCAUAUUACUUGCAGUCACUGGCCUCCUUGUGACCGUGCAUGAUCUCAGAUAUUGAUUCUGGUACAAAGAUGCAGUCAGAAGGUUUCUUCACCAAGUUUAACAAAUCCAGUACCAAAAGCCAUACAUUUAAACCUCUUUUCACUCUUGAACAGAUGCAACAAAAUUGCAUCUUUUAUCAUGUUAAAUAUGGAAGUUCACUACUAAUAAAAAGAGUCGAGUCCAGAACAUAACUAUUGAGAAGUGCGUGCUUUUGUGGUGCUGUUUGAUCUAUCGGAUUCUCUCUCUUGACUGUCACUCUUUCUGUUGAACUCCAUGCCCUGGAACGUGAGCCUAGAAGAUCGGUAUUGACUACCAAAUCCUGUGCCAAAUCCCCAUCCAAGGCCUAGCCCAACUCCACACCCUCCGCCUUCAUUAAAGUGCCAAUAUAUAACUCAGCGAAAUGAUUUGAGGUAAGGUACAUGUAUAAAUUGCUUCAAGUAAAGGCAGUUCUAGUCUAUACCUGCACCAAGACCUAUGAUAUUCAAAGGCAUGCCUGUAUCAAAUUAACAAAAAAAAUUAGAAAAUGCCUACAUGGAUCUAAAGAUUCUUGACAAAAGCAUGAAUCAUACUAAAACAACUGUGCGAAAACUGGACAACAACAACAUAUUGGAAAUGAAAAUUCUAAUUUCUAAGCUUAAAGAAGUUAGAUAAUUCUAGAUAACAAGAGAAUCUAGUUCAACAAAUUUGAUUUUAAUUGAUAAAUUUGUAGAGAUUUAGCUAAUUUGACAAUUUUAAUCCAAGGUUUUACAUUACAGAAGUUGUUUACCAUCAUUUUCCAAAUAAAUGAUAAAAGUACAGGUAAAAGUUUCAAAUAGAAAACAGCGAAGAAGGCAAAAAUAAAUACCAAUAUGACCAGUAGUAACUGCAAAUAUGACAAAAGAAUCAAACUACACCAUGCUCCAUAACACAUACACGAGCAUGUUCUAAGAAAUCUUUGGAUGCCCAAGAAAGUGUAAACAAGAAAAUUGGCCAAGUCUGGGGGAGGCCUACCCUUGGCCUUGGCCGGGGCUGGCUAGUCUCCUCCCCACUUAGCUCAGGCCAGCCCCUUGAUGAUUAUUCAGAAGAUUCUUGGACAUAAGCGUGCACAACAGAGUAGAAGAUAAGUCAGAAGGCUGCCUCCUUGGGCUCCUUGUAGAAGGCUUAGGGAGACCUCCUCCAUAUUGGACCUGUGAGAGGGACUUGCAUUGGUGGGAUGUAAUGGUAGGGUAACUCAGGCUUAACGAGGGUGGUAAUUUCAUCAGUGGGACCUACUAGACAUAUGGGAUUAAGUGGGACCUGCACAUGACUGGAUCUGUCGAGCACAUGACCUGGGAGGUACCCACAACUAUAAAUACCUCUCACAACUUGAGGAGGGGUUUCUUCUGUGGUUCCUUUUGGUCCUUGGACUUCUGGACUCUUUGAUCAGCUCUGGUAUACAGACCCCAUAUUUGCAUAACUUUUUAACGAAACUCUGCCCCAUCCUUCAUUAUUAAUCCAUCUAGGUAGGUGCGGUACAGCGGUACUAUUAAUUUCAUCAUGUACAGGCUAUAUACAUUCAAACUAAGUAGUUCACACAGAAAUUAAUAAGGACACAUUUGGCAGUUCCAUCACUUGUGGCUACUAAUACAUGCUCUAAUCUUAUAUUUACUGGGAAGGUUAAUUCUUGAAACUUCAAUGGGAUCCUCAGAUUUGACCCCAGAUUCUCUAUACAGCAACCAAGGAAAUAAGAAUGUUUAUUAGUAACAGAAAUUGCAGCACUUGUUGCGAGAAUUUUCCAACCAUUCAUUUGAAUUUUGAGCUAUCCACACUUAUAUGACAUCAAACAAAUCCUCAUUUUGUAUUAUCAUCACUAGUCUUCUUCAGUGUACUUCCGCAGUCUGACGAGAGUCACUAAGUUGCCUUCGACCUGGAGACGGGUAUAACCUUUCCUCAUAAACGUAGAACCAAUAUUUAGGUUUAUGUUGAAUUAGUCUCUCAGACUAGGAAUACCCAUAUGACAUCCAGCCAUGGACUCCGUAUUAAUUCCAAGCGAUCACAUUAAGAUCAACUUCAUUGUCUGUAUAUGAAGGAUCCACACAAGAUCUGGUGCAGUAAAUAGAGAUGACACUAAGUAAUCCCCACCUAAUAUUCCUGCAGUUUGAUGUUUUUAUCCUUAUAGAGCAGGAAAAAUCACAAAUCAAGAUCAUUUCACUGUUUGUUCACUUAAGUUUCAGCAGAACAGUAGUAGAAUAAAAACACGAAAGCAAGUGCCAAAAUGUGACAAAGUAUCACACACAUUCAAAUUCUCACAUUGAAAAAAAACCAUUGAAACCAAAACAUCAAUCAAUCACCAACACCUAAAUUAUCUAAUUACCCAAGUAUCAUAUUUGUCAGCAAAGCAAAAAUUACAAAAUGUUCAAGUAAGAUUAUAAGAUAAUCAAACCUCCAAAACCCCAUCCGAUACCGAAACCACAACCAACUCCAAAACCUGAGAUCAAACCACAAACCCAAAAUCAUCAUGUUCAAAAGACACUGGAUAUAAAUAUGAAAAAAAAGAGAGUAAAUGAUCGAAAUAUACGAGUAUACCGAAUCCAAUACCAGUCCCGUUGAAGUUUGUGAGCACCAUUUCUGAAAGAAGUUCUUUAUUUCACUGCCAUUAACAUAUAUGUAAUUGUAAACAAGUAUCCACAUGUCCAUAUAGAAAUUAUAUAUAUUGACAGAGAGAAAAAAAGGGGAAUUGAAAGAAGGGGUGAAUUAUAUACUUACAGAGGAGGAAUAAAGAAGCUGGCAGGAAGGUUUUCGAUUCCUGGAAGGACCCAAUUGAGAACUAGGGCUAUCUGAAGAGGGUAAAUUGGGAGCCAACUCUUAUU